AUUGAACGCUGGCGGCAUGCUUUACACAUGCAAGUCGAACGGUAACAGGCCUUCGGGUGCUGACGAGUGGCGAACGGGUGAGUAAUUCAUCGGAACGUGCCCAGAGGUGGGGGAUAACGCAGCGACAGCUGUGCUAAUACCGCAUGUGAUCUGAGGAUGAAAGCAGGGGACCAAGCAGCAAUGUUUGGCCUCGCGCCUCUGGAUCGGCCGAUGUCAGAUUAGGUAGUUGGUGGGGUAAAGGCCUACCAAGCCGACGAUCUGUAGCUGGUCUGAGAGGACGACUAGCCACACUGGGACUGAGACACGGCCGAGACUCCGACGGGAGGCAGCAGUGGGGAAUUUUGGACAAUGGGCGCAAGGCUGAUCCAGCAAUGCCGCGUGAGGGAAGAAGGCCUUCGGGUUGUAAACCGCUUUUGUACGGAACGAAAAGGCUCUGGCUAAUACCUGGGGCUGAUGACGGUACCGUAAGAAUAAGCACCGGCUAACUACGUG
rnacentral:rRNA from 1 species